GGAAGGGAGAGGUGUGGGGAGCUCUGCUUCAGCUGUGGGGCCUCAGGAGGCAGGACUCAGGGAUGACCUCCACCAUGGCCUGGGCCCCUCUCCUCCUCACCCUCCUGGCUCACUGCACAGGAUCCUGGGCCCAGUCUGUGCUGACUCAGCCAUCCUCAGUGUCGGGGUCCCCGGGCGAGAGGGUCACCAUCUCCUGCACUGGAAGCAGCUCCAACAUUGGGGGUGGAUCUCUUGUGUACUGGUACCAGCAGCUCCCAGGAAAGGCCCCCAAACUCCUCAUCUAUGAUAGUAGCAACCGACCCUCAGGGGUCCCAGACCGGUUCUCUGGCUCCAAGUCUGGCAGCUCAGGCACCCUGACCAUCACGGGGCUGCAGGCCGAGGACGAGGCCGACUAUUACUGCCAGUCCUACAGUAGGAGUUUUGAUGAUCACACAGUGCUGCAGGCCUGUGGGGAAGGACUGUGUCAGCAAAACCUGUCCUCACCCUUUGUACUUGCUUGUCAAACGCACUCGUGGCAGCAGCACACGGUUUGCGUGUCUCAGCCUGAGCAGACCUUCCUGGUGGACACUGAGGCCAAGGCUGCCUGUCCCGGCCGCUCCUGUGACCACAGCCCCAGGGCCCACCCAGAGCCCGUCCUGUGGGACUGA